AUCGGGACUGGUGGAAAGUGGUGAUGUGGGUCGUGCUCCACACACCGAGGACGGGACUUCUUCACAGUCUUUCCAAGUCUGCAUACCCUCCCUGAGAGUUAGAAUGACAGUCCCGACGCUACUCGUUCUCCUCUGCCUGUAAAUAAUGCAGUGGUGGGCUGCUGGUCUAAAGGCUGACUUCGAUCCCUCCUCACGGUAGUUUCUCUGCUGUGAAGUUGGUUUCCGUCAUAACGCGUCCGCUCCACCGGACCUUGUUGCUGCGCCGGGCCUUGACUCAGUCUGUACCUCAUGGCAGUGUCCAGGCUCCGUGAUACAAGGGAUGCAGUACAAACGCAAGUCUAAACAGUAUAGAGUUAACACCACCCAGCACUCAGUGGCCCCAUCGCGCUGGUCAGUAGAGGACCCGAGGCCAUCAGACGCAGCGGAACCUUUCUGGGUCGUAAGGUGAUUUACGCCCGGGGGACGUAAAUAGUGCCGCCGAAGUCCCGAGGGGCCUCGAGACAAGGAAGAGAAGCUACGCGGUUCACUUCAGCCAGUCAGUGGUCAGUAGCGUCAGCUUCGUUGUGGUGUACGCGUGGGUUUUGUGUUUUCUUGAACGCUUAUUUGGGCUUCAGGUGAACCAAAACUCUCUCAAAGCAUGUCCACAGUGGCCAGCAGGUAUGUUAACUUGGUAAUGAGUGUAUUUGGACAUAUACUGUUAGUGAAACUGGUGUGUCGUUCCUCGCUAGGCUAGUAGGAAGCAAGCGGUUGAGGAAUCACAGUUGCCAGACCAUUAAUAACUAACAUUUUCUUAAUUUUUCAUAUUUAUCAGUUUUUGUAUUUCACAUGACUAUCUAGGACGUAAGUGUUUCUAGUGCCAUGAAUCUAAAGGAAUGGUGCUUGAAAUGGGAUGUUGAAGGCAGAUGGAGACGCUCGAUAAACAGAAGACAAGUACAAGGGACAGGAAGCCAUUACUGUCGUCCACUGAGGGAGUGUUGACCGCGAGUUACUGCCUCCAUUAUUACCUUGAUUUCCUUCUCACUCUCACUCACUCACUCUCUCUCUCUCUCUCUCUCUCUCUCUCUCUAACUUAAAGCAUUAAAUUCGCCACAGUCCCAGCAAGGGCAAAUCAAUGUUCUGACAAAAAGUAGAGGGGACAUUUGCGGCUAAAAAUAGUCCUGCAUACGUAAUGAGUCAAAGUAAUGGGCAGUAUAUGAAUUACUUGUUACUCAUACAUGACCUUGAUUCGUGUGACAUCAGCGACUCUCCAUCAAGUACCUGUGGCAAAGACUUCAGAUUCCUUGCACAGAGGAGUGAGAAGAAGCGUAGAAACUCUGUACACACCACCAGCGAUACUUGACCAUUCACGGCCGACCAUCACUAUCGUCUGCUGUUAAGGAAGUGACACAUUGUUCUCUUAUAUCUUGUUUAUAUUGAUUUCAUAAUGUGCAUUCUUCGUCGUUCUUGUAAAUUAAGACAAAAUUAAACAUACGCGGAAGAAUUAAAGAAAAAUACAGAGGUUAAAUGUAUAUUAAAUGCUUGGAUGGACUAACAAAUAGGUGUACAGAAAGAAUAUGGAAAAUAAUGUAACAGCAACUUAUCAGUAACCGUUCAGAAUAUGUGUGUGUGUGUGUGUGUGUGUGUGUGUGUGUGUGUAAAUAUCCAAAGAGCAGCGAAUACACAGUGCUAUCUAACUGCAUAAAAUCUUUCUCCUUAACUGCACAAACUUUACAGCCUCCAAGUGUACGAGCACUGCCGGUCCAUGGUGCGGAAGACUAACACUUCGCGGAGCUCACAGGCACAUCAGUAACGCUUCCAGAAUCCAUUACGGGGCAUCACGGCAUCGAUAAGAGUCACAGUAGAAGAAUCAUGUAUAUGGCAUGAAUCAAUCUGAAAUUUAAAUGUACAUAUAAUCCAGCAGACUUAAUGGUUCAGGGGUGACUUGUGACUUGGAGGAGAGCUGAAGGAGUAACUGCUUCCCGCGCCCUCCACGAUGGAGUGCGGCCAUAUUUGUCAAUUCCCCCCUCUCACCCACUUAUCCAUCCUGCCAUUUUCUCUUCCUGACUUGAUAAGGGAGGAUACAAGAAGACAUCAGAUCUACACGUUGCAGUCUCAGUGAAACGCAAAUACCUAUAUCUACUUUCCCAGCCUCACAUUUCCUCCUCCCGACAUUUGACAUCAUAAGAUCAUAAGGAAGGGAGGAUCCGGGAAGCCAUGAGACCUACAUGUUGCGGUCCCAGUGAAAGACACAUGCCAAUGCUCGUUUAUGCUGUCUAUUUAUAAUUUUACCUGGUCUCGUUCAGCAAAAUUGUAUUGAAAUAAUAUACACAUACAAGAACAAAAAAAAAAAAAAAAUACUAACGGAUAAACUUACUACAAUUAUUGUAAGAAUAUUUUGUAUCUUGACAUUUCCAUCAAUUUUAUACAAGCCACAAGCAGGAAAUUCCCGAGUACUUGCUUUUUGUUUAUUUACUCAUCUUAUUUAUUCUUUUUAUUCUAUUUUAUUUUUAGAGCGGUUAUUUUAGGUACAAACGCACUGCAAAGCAAGCAAGAGGUCAAUUAAUUUCUUCCUGCCGCUCAUGUACAUAGAAACCAUUCGCCUGGA